AUCAUCUCUUCUUCUCUCUAUCUUCUGUCGAGUUUUCUCCGUGAGUCUUUGCUGGAUUUCUUAAUAACAUUAUAACUGGUAAUUUCUCUACUAUUCUUCUUUACUUACUGGUAUUUGGUUACAAUUGGUAAGGUUUUAAAUUAGAGAUUUCUGUUUUCACAUUUAAUUUCUUUCUCUUUUUUGGGGUUCCAUCUCAUUAGGGGUUUUCCUUUCCGAAGUUUUCUUGCAAUUUCAAGGAUAUGAGUGAUCUUAUUUAGGAAGCUUGUUUCACCAAUAUACUGUUAUUGUGUAAUUUCAGUUUAGCUUUGGUCUAUCCCCUUCCCGUAUCUGAUUUAUGUUCUUUUAAUCCUCAGGGUUUCUCAGAUUUUCUUUAGUUCUCUCUCCUGUAUUGACUCUUCUGAACUUGGAGCUCUUUAUUUUGCUAAGUUGUCCUUCAAUUUUUCUUUGUUUAUUACACUUUAUUUUUAAUCACAAUUUAUUGGACAUUGUUUGUUCAUGUUCUUUUUGAGGAUAUGUGCCAUAAAAUUUGGUAUGACCUCCUUAUGUGUGACGACCCAAAGGGUCAUCACCGUAAUUCUUCAUUUCUUUGUGCUUUCGAGGCCUUGAAAACCUCUUAUUUGGUUGCCUCGAUUCGCGUGCACUGUCCGGGCGCGAAGCCAAAAUUUGUUUAUGUGGAAAUAUUUGAAUCCUGUGUUAAAAACUAUGAAUUUUGAUAAUAAUAUUGCUAUAGUUGACUUUGGUCAAUAUUUU
rnacentral:lncRNA from 1 species